UACGAAGGGGGCUAGCGUUGCUCGGAAUUACUGGGCGUAAAGGGCGCGUAGGCGGGAUGGCAAGUCGGUCGUGAAAUCCCUCGGCUCAACUGAGGAUCGUCGAUCGAUACUGCCGUUCUUGAGGAUUGCAGAGGAGACUGGAAUUCCCGGUGUAGCGGUGAAAUGCGUAGAUAUCUGGAGGAACACCGGUGGCGAAGGCGGCAUCCUGGACCACGACUGACGCUGAGGAGCGAAAGCCAGGGGAGCAAACGGG
rnacentral:rRNA from 1 species